AACGAGUCGGUCCAUUUUGUCGCUAUGGCCUCAAUGGACCAAAGAAUUAUUUUGUCGCUUUGGCCUCAAUAAUUCUGCUAUCUUGUCGCUUUGGCCUUGAUAGACUUGGAGAUCAUUUUGUCGCUUUGGCCUUAAUGAUCUCGACCCACUUUGUCGCUUUGGCCUUAGUGGGGUAACCGUCGUUGCGGACGUAAAGUCGCUCUUGAUCAGGGUGGACUAUAAACAUGGGUUCUGAUAGUGAACCAGAUCCUGUCGCUUUGGCCAGGAUCCACGCAUUCUGUCGCUUGGGCC
rnacentral:lncRNA from 1 species